AUUGAACGCUGGCGGAAUGCUUUACACAUGCAAGUCGAACGGCAGCACGGACUACGGUCUGGUGGCGAGUGGCGAACGGGUGAGUAAUGUAUCGGAACGUGCCCAGUCGUGGGGGAUAACGUAGUGAAAAUUACGCUAAUACCGCAUACGAUCUAUGGAUGAAAGCGGGGGAUCGCAAGACCUCGCGCGAUUGGAGCGGCCGAUAUCAGAUUAGGUAGUUGGUGGGGUAAAGGCCCACCAAGCCAACGAUCUGUAGCUGGUCUGAGAGGACGACCAGCCACACUGGAACUGAGACACGGUCCAGACUCCUACGGGAGGCAGCAGUGGGGAAUUUUGGACAAUGGGCGAAAGCCUGAUCCAGCCAUUCCGCGUGCAGGAUGAAGGCCCUCGGGUUGUAAACUGCUUUUGUACAGAACGAAAAGGUUUCUGCUAAUACUAGGAGCUCAUGACGGUACUGUAAGAAUAAGCACCGGCUAACUACGUGCCAGCAGCCGCAGUAA
rnacentral:rRNA from 1 species